rnacentral:rRNA from 1 species
GAUGAACGCUGGCGGCGUGCCUAAUACAUGCAAGUCGAGCGAACAGACGAGGGGCUUGCUCCUCUGACGUUAGCGGCGGACGGGUGAGUAACACGUGGAUAACCUACCUAUAAGACUGGGAUAACUUCGGGAAACCGAAGCUAAUACCGGAUAAUAUAUUGAACCGCAUGGUUCAAUAGUGAAAGACGGUUUUGCUGUCACUUAUAGAUGGAUCCGCGCCGCAUUAGCUAGUUGGUAAGGUAACGGCUUACCAAGGCGACGAUGCGUAGCCGACCUGAGAGGGUGAUCGGCCACACUGGAACUGAGACACGGUCCAGACUCCUACGGGAGGCAGCAGUAGGGAAUCUUCCGCAAUGGGCGAAAGCCUGACGGAGCAACGCCGCGUGAGUGAUGAAGGUCUUCGGAUCGUAAAACUCUGUUAUUAGGGAAGAACAAAUGUGUAAGUAACUAUGCACGUCUUGACGGUACCUAAUCAGAAAGCCACGGCUAACUACGUG